AUUGAACGCUGGCGGCAGGCCUAACACACGCAAGUCGGGCGAGCGGCGGACGGGUGAGUAAUGUAUGGGGAUCUGUCUGAUGGCGGGGGAUAACUACGGGAAACGGUAGCUAAUACCGCAUACCAUCAGAUGAACCCAUAGGGGAUUAGCUAGUAGGUAAGGUAACGGCGUACCUAGGCGACGAUCCCUAGCUGGUCUGAGAGGAUGAUCAGUCACACUGCGACUUGGACACGGCCCAGACUCAUGCGCGAGGCCGCCGUAGGGAUUAUGGAACAAUGGGCGCAAGCCUGAUGCAGCCACGCCGCGUGUGUGAAGAAGGCCUUCGGGUUGUAAAGCACUUUCAGCGAGGAGGCGUUACUCGCAGAAGAAUCACCGGCUAACUCCGUGACAGCAGCCGCGAUAAUAC
rnacentral:rRNA from 1 species